rnacentral:rRNA from 1 species
GAUGAACGCUGGCGGCGUGCUUAACACAUGCAAGUCGAACGAACAGACGAGGAGCUUGUUCCUCGGACGGUAGCUGCGGACGGGUGAGUAACGCGUGGAUAACCUACCUGUAAGUCUGGUACAUCUUCGGGAAAGCGGAGAGAAGACCAGAGAAUAUAUUGAACCGCAUGGUUCAAUAGUGAAAGGCGGUUGUGCUGUCACUUCUAGAGGGAUCCGCGCCGCAUUAGAUAGUUGGUAAGGUAACGGCAUACCAAGGCGACGAUGCGUAGCCGACCUGAGAGGGUGGUCGGCCACCCGGGAAGUGAGACGGAGCCGCGACACCUGGGGGAGGACGCAGUAGGGAAUCUUACGCAAUGGGGGAAAGCCUGACGGAGCAACGCGGAGUGAGUUAUGAAGGUGCUCCGAUCGUAAAACUCUGUUAUUAGGGAAGAACAAAUGUUUAAGUAGCUGUGCAGGUAUUGACGGUACCUAAUCAAAAAGCCACGGCUAACUACGUG